GCCGGCGGCAGCAGGGGGCGGGGCCGUGGGCGGAUGAGGACCCGCGGACCUGAGCCGCGGGCUCUCUCGGCUCGGCCCUGGGCCCGGCUGGGUGAGAGGGCGCCCAGCUGCGCUGAUGACCUCCGAUGACCCCCAAAGCCCGUGCUGGCCCUUGUGCAUAAGAAUCCUCUUGUCCGUAAUGCCCUGCCACAGGAUCGUUGGAGGUGCUUUUUAAAAGUACGGAUUCCUGACACCCACCCCUCUGCUUAAUUCCUUCCGUCUUAGCGCCAGGGAAUCAGAAUUUUUAACGAGGACUACCAGUGAUUCUGGUGGAAGAGUCAGCGGACCACACUGUAAGAAACUGCUGGACGGCGUGUUACUAAUGACCUCAGGUCCCGAAGAUACCUUUCCAGACUGAGGACUAUGGAGCCCUGUUCAAGAGGAGACCUCUGGGGUUCUGGAGCUUGGGGGUCUCCUCUCUUCGACUCAGUUCCUCUGUUCUCAGUUGCCUGCCACAUAUUCACCCCCAGCAGAUCCACUCGCUGAAACUCCCCUAAGUAGCACCAGGUCCUGAUCUGUCCUCUUGGCAAGUGGGUGUCUGAUCCUGAGAGCCAGUUUGUGUCGCCUCCAAUAGCUUUUAGCAGACAUCUGGUCCCUGCCUCAGAGCUGCCAUCGUUGAAGCUGUGAAGCGGCUUCUGGGGACCCAGUGCCACAGUCUUGGCUCCCUGACCUUCCUUCCCCGACAAUGAAUUUUCAUGAGCUGCUUGGACUAUUAAGGUCUUCCAGUUUGGUCAAAGAGUGACUGCUGGAAACAUGGCACCUUACUGGACUAAGAUUCAGAUAAGAGAAGUUCAUCUGACAGGUGAAGGACACAUGGGCAGUGAAGGCACAGGCUCUGUGCCUCCAUGGACAGCUGGCCCAGCGCAGACUGGAGUGCACCAGGGCCACUGGGAGCACCAGGCCCACUGGGAGCAUCGGGACCACUAGGAGCACCAGGCCCACCUGGAGCACCACCACCACCGGGAGCAUCGGUCCCACUGGGAGCAUCGGACCCACUGGGAGCACUGCCAGCGGCGCCAGCAGCGCCAACACCGAGCCCACUGGGAGCACCAGGCCCACUGGGAGCAGCACCAGCACCGGGAGCACCGAGCCCACCGGGAGCACCUCCAGCACCGGGAGCAUCGAGCCCACCGGGAGCACUGGAGCGCCGAUCCGCCUCAGGAGCCUCUCCCUCGGCCUGUGCCUCUGCCUCUCCGGGUCUCUCAUGAAUAAAUACAUAAUAUCUAAAAAAAAAAAAAAAAUUCAUUUGAGCGGAAACCAACAGGAAUGCGGCAGGGCCAAGCGAAAAUGGUCAGAGCGCUUUGCCAUAGGCGGGAGCCGGGGAGAGAUUUACAGCCUAAAGCCUAGUUGACUGUGACUGGUCGAACUGAGCUUUCAAUUUUGUGACCUUCAGGCAUUUAUAAACUUAGAUUUCGGCUUGCUUAGGAAGGCUGCCGCAGCGUUGGAACCGCCUGUCUCAGGGCCUCCUUGUUUCAUGAAUCCAAAGGGCUUCUUGUCCUGAAGCGGCCAUGGGGAGGGGGUAAAGAUGCGGCACCUCGGUGUCCCCUGCAGCUAGACACCUGGACACAGAGGGGCCCCUGUGGCUUGUAGACUGGCAUUUUGAGAACAAAUUGGCAACCUAAAGAAAGAGGUAAAUUGAAGGAAGCUCAAAUUAUCUGACAUUGAGUUUAUUCUGCAGCAAAGGAAUUGCAAUUUGAAAAUAUGAACUUAUAGCAAGCUGUAGGUGCACCCCUUGAGGCUUUGCAGGUUUGUAUUUAUGGGCAAGGAGUACGAAGAAGGGGAGUCCAGCCAAGAAGCUCAUUAGCUUGAAGAUAGGCAGAGAUUCUUGAUGGAUGUUCAUUGCUCAGGAGUAUGUUUCCAUCUUUUAUAAAUCAGGCAUUUAUGGGAAAUCAGUCUCUCAGUUCUUCCAACAGCACAGGCAUGAGAUUCUCCAUUUCAUAUCCUCUGGUUCCAUCUUAGGUUGGAAUCCUUUCAUAAAAUCAAGAUACAGUUGUGAGUUUCCCUUAUACUAGUAUCUAGAAACACUGGUCUGUAAUGUUUCUGGAGGAAAAACUCAAUUCCUAUUAAGCAGA